GGACAUUCCUGCAGUCAGCAUGCUAAUUGCAUGCUCCCUCAAAACUUGCGAGAUCUGUGGCAUUGUGCUGUGAGAUAAAACUGCCCAUUUUAAAGUGGCCUUUUAUUGUUGCGAGCCUAAGGCACACCUUUGCAAUAAUCAUGGUGUCUAAUCAGCAUCUUGAUAUGCCAUACCUGUGAGGUGGAUGGAUUAUCUUGGCAAAGG